rnacentral:rRNA from 1 species
ACGGGUGAGUAACGCGUAUGCAACCUACCUAUCGAGAGGGGAAUAACCCGGCGAAAGUCGGACUAAUACCGCAUAAAACAGGGGCACCGCAUGGUGAUAUUUGUUAAAGAAAUUCGCUGAUAGAUGGGCAUGCGUUCCAUUAGGUAGUUGGUGAGGUAACGGCUCACCAAGCCGACGAUGGAUAGGGGAACUGAGAGGUUGGUCCCCCACACUGGUACUGAGACACGGACCAGACUCCUACGGGAGGCAGCAGUGAGGAAUAUUGGUCAAUGGGCGAGAGCCUGAACCAGCCAAGUCGCGUGAAGGAAGAAGGAUCUAUGGUUCGUAAACUUCUUUUGCAGGGGAAUAAAGUGCAGGACGUGUCCUGUUUUGUAUGUACCCUGAGAAUAAGGAUCGGCUAACUCCGUGCCAGCCGCAGC